AGAGGGGCUUUUUAUUAGCAGUAAGGUCACGUGGUAGACACGUUUUGAUGUAAGUGACGUAAUAUCAAUAAAAGAGUCGGGCUCAUAACCCGAAGGUCGGCGGUUCAAAUCCGUCCCCCGCUA
rnacentral:tRNA from 1 species